AGAUGGUUUCUCUGUGUAGUCCUGGCUGUCCUGUUACUCUGUAAACCAGGCUGACCUCAAACUCACAGAGACCCACCUGCUUCUGCCUCCCGAGUACUGGGGUUAAAGUUUGUGCUACCAUGCCUGGCAAUAAAACUUCUCUUAAGAGCAAAAAAUAAUAUUUUACUUGGAAAUAGUCUGCUGUGAAUAAAUGAAAUCUCAAUAUUAAUAUAAGGCCAUGGAGAGUGAGGGUAUACUCAGAGUGAGCUACAAAACUAAAUAUUCUUAUGGGGGGGGGCAGGACAUUUGAUCAGCCUGCAUCCUACUGUCUUGUAAGGCAGACCAGGUACCAAUCUAGGCUGCAAUGUUAGAAGAAAUGACAGGAAUGAUACAGAAUAUGCAUGUAUAGUCUUUCUUGCUGUUUAAAAAUGUUUUCUAAGAGACAUUAAUUCAGAGUAGAUAUAGCCAGGCAGUAAUGAUAUUAUAUUGCUUUUAUUAGGAGGCACAAUCAGAAAUGGUAGCACAUGCCUUUAGCCCCAGUACUCAAGAGGCAGAAGCAGGUGAAUCUCUGUGAGUUUGAGGUCAGCCUGGUCUACAUAGUGAAUUCCAGGACAGCCAGGGCUACAUAGUGAGAUCCUAUCUCUGAGACAGAGACAGAGAUGCUAUUUCUGGCUACAAAUGUUCAGUCUUCUUAACUGAAACCUAUGAACUGACUUAAAGGAAGAACUUGGACAAAAUCUGAGACAACAGCUCAUGCCUACAAAGACUGGAAUCCAGCCAUCUCUACUGAUUCUCCUAUGCCUCCCCACACUCCUACUGCAGUUACGGACUGGUGCGUGACACUGGUCUUUACUCUGGCCCUCGUGAUUACUCAACAAGAGCUCUUGACAUCUGAGCCAUCCCUCCAGCAUCUAGGCUGCCAUUUUGUACAUAAUAUUGUCGCUAGGAUACUGUCCUCUUAAUCACUGAGCUGUGGUUAGAUUUGUUAUGUUCUGAUUGCCUUGUCUUCUGUCUGUGCCUUUUCUAAGUCGAAACUGAGUGUCUAGUGAGGUUUUCUUGGGAAUAAAAAGAGCACUCAUUUGGAAA